rnacentral:rRNA from 1 species
UGGGGAAUAUUGGACAAUGGGCGCAAGCCUGAUCCAGCCAUGCCGCGUGAGUGAUGAAGGCCCUAGGGUUGUAAAGCUCUUUCACCGGUGAAGAUAAUGACGGUAACCGGAGAAGAAGCCCCGGCCAACUUCGUGCCAGCAGCCGCGGUAAUACGAAGGGGGCUAGCGUUGUUCGGACUUACUGGGCGUAAAGCGCACGUAGGCGGACUUUUAAGUCAGGGGUGAAAUCCCGGGGCUCAACCCCGGAACUGCCUUAGAUACUGGAAGUCUUGAGUAUGGUAGAGGUGAGUGGAAUUCCGAGUGUAGAGGUGAAGUUCGUAGAUAUUCGGAGGAACACCAGUGGCGAAGGCGGCUCACUGGACCAUUACUGACGCUGGGGUGCGAAAGCGUGGGGAGCAAACAGG